rnacentral:rRNA from 1 species
GAUGAACGCUGGCGGCGUGCCUAAUACAUGCAAGUCGAGCGAACAGAUGAGGAGCUUGCUCCUCUGACGUUAGCGGCGGACGGGUGAGUAACACGUGGAUAACCUACCUAUAAGACUGGGAUAACUUCGGGAAACCGGAGCUAAUACCGGAUAAUAUAUUGAACCGCAUGGUUCAAUAGUGAAAGACGGUUUUGCUGUCACUUAUAGAUGGAUCCGCGCCGCAUUAGCUAGUUGGUAAGGUAACGGCUUACCAAGGCAACGAUGCGUAGCCGACCUGAGAGGGUGAUCGGCCACACGGGAACUGAGACACGGUCCAGACUCCUACGGGAGGCGGCAGUAGGGAAUCUUCCGCAAUGGGCGAAAGCCUGACGGAGCAACGCCGCGUGAGUGAUGAAGGUCUUCGGAUCGUAAAACUCUGUUAUUAGGGAAGAACAAAUGUGUAAGUAACUAUGCACGUCUUGACGGUACCUAAUCAGAAAGCCACGGCUAACUACGU